GAAGCUCUCAAGCGCUCGCACGAAUUUUACUGCGAGCUCGAAAAGGGGGCGCCGCCUUUGCGGCCCAACUGUCUUCCCCAUCCCCAACUGUUGCCCCUUCCGGCCACCGGCUGAAGCCUUGCUCGGCUCCUAGGCUCUCGGGUCAACGGUCACGGGCAGAGAAGCCCACGUGGACCUCGCGUCGGGCAGCCCCGCGUCCCCGGAAGCUCAGGCUCUCGGGCGCCGGGCUGCGGCGUUCUGGGAGGUCGCUCUGAGCGCUCCGCGGCCCGGGCCACCGCAUCACUCACGACCGGUCCCCGCCGGGCCGCCCCGGUCCCUGGAAAACAGCGAGGGUACUCUCCAAGGCAGCAAUUACCAGCUACGACCUUUUGGGUUUUGAGGCUGCUUCCUAGGAAUGUCUGUUCCUUGGCUACAUCAUCAGAGAAUCAGAGAGUUGAGGAUUGCCGCCAGCACCACGAGGCCUAUGGGUACUUCUUGCUCAUCCAGAUGAGGCGGCAGGACAAUGACCGUACGGCCAUGGGAACAAUGCUGUGUACUACAGCUACUUAGACACGAUUAUCAACCAGUACCUGAUGAGCUCACCACUUUGGAUUCGAAGACUUGAAACUUAAAGCAGGAGGAGACCAGAUCUUGGACAAAGCAGAAAAUGUCAGGGAUGAGGGGCUUCCCUGGUGGUGCAGUGGUUAAGAAUCUGCCUGCCAAUGCAGGGGACACGGGUUCAAGCCCUGGUCCGGGAAGAUCCCACAUGCCGCAGAGCAACUAAGCCCGUGUGUCACAACUACUAAGCCUGCGCUCUGGAGCCUGCGAGCCACAACUACUAAGCCCUCGCGCCUAGAGCCCGUGCUCUGCGACAAGAGAAGCCACUGCAAUGAGAAGCCUGUGCACUGCAAUGAACAGCAGCCCCUGCUCACCACAACUAGGGAAAGCCCGCACACAGCAACAAAGACCCAACACAGCCAAAAAAAAAAAAAAAAAAAAAAAAAAAGUCACGGAUGAAAGAGCCUUGACAUUUUAGAACCUAUUCAAGAAACUUGACCAGCUAAGCAGCUGCAGGAGCCUCAGCCCCUUGCUCUUAGGUUGAAGACCCCUAUGCCCACUGGCAUCUCCUGCUCCACAGCUGGCCCAGGUUCCAGCAAUUCCCCACUGGACUUCACUAAGGCACCCCAAACCCCUGUCCAGAGCAAACUUCAGGCUGGGAACUCAACAGUGUCCAUCUGUAGGCCAAAGGGCCCCAAGCUAGGGAUGCCAUCCCUGAAGGAAACUUCCAAGACACCUGCAAGCUACUUCCAAUGUUUAAGAAGGUUUUACCCUAGUAGUCCAUUUACCUGGGGUGAUGUCAUACAGGCUAAUUAGGGAUUUGUUUCUUUGCUUUGGGCUGGAAUUUUAUCCUUCUUACUGUGAACAGAAGUUCAAAUCGGCAGUUACUCUUUGAUCAAUUAGAAAUGGAAAUGAAUUCAUUAGCACUUAAAUCUCCACUCCUACCCGAACCUGGGUAGCCCAAGCUCCUCUUUCUCAGGAAGGUGGAAACUUUACUAACAGCUUUGACUUGUCCCUUCAUUUGCAAUUUUAACAGGUCUCAAGACCGAAAGACUAAACCUCAAGUAUCUUCCUUCCAGGAAAUCACAGCUAGACACAGCAGAAUUCUUUCCACACAGUGCAGUGUUCAGCCUACCUACUGUGCGCCAGACACUGCUGCAGUCCUGGGGACACAGUGGUGACAUGCCCAUCGGUUAUCCAAAGCCAACUGAGAAGCAGAAUCUCAAACCAGCAAAGACCAAACGACGUCAGACAGUAUACAACCUGUUUUUCUGGAAAGGACAGCAUCUAAUCUAUGCCAAAGAAAUAUCCAGGACAUAGCUCAGCCUGACACGUAGUGGGAGCUCAAUAAAUAUCUGUUGGAAGCAUAUAUAAUCUUAACCUCUCUCUUUAAAAAUAUCAAACAUGAGCUCUAGGGAAAGGAGGCUAUGAUGUAAAUAGACCAAACGCUAUAAUUAGAACACCUGGACUGUAGUCCUGUGUGAUCUUGGGCAACUGACUUGACUCUCUGAGUCUCAGUUUCCCCAUCUGUAAAUGGAACACCUACUUUACAAGGAAUGUUGUGAGGAAUAGAGGAGAGAAUGUGUGCCUUUCCUCACUAAGGAUGACGGUCCCCACCACAGGUGGAUGGAGAACUCAACAAACAGGUAACAGGUAAUGGAAGUAAGCAAAGCGUCCAGGGAGCCCGGGGAUCCCCUGACAGCUGCCAACAAGGCUGCCCAGCUCUGCUCUAGACAAUGACGGCCUCAUGGAAAAAUGGGCCACGGGUGUCAAGAGAAGCCGGAAAUCGGGGGCUGUAUGUGGAAUCGCUUUGAUGUUAAAUGUUGGCAAGUAAUUUACAUUUUUUUCUCAGACUGUGCAGCACAUUGGUGACUGCAUGAAGCCUCUGGGUCCCCACUUUUUUUUUUUUUUUUUUUUUUUUGUCUCCAGGGGCCUUAGAGCUGUCACGUUUUCAGAAUCUAUGGGCAGAUGGUGGUGACAAAGCUGCCUGGAUCCAGUCAUGCUCCUGCCUCUGCAGUCCGGACUUGGAGGGGACUGUUGCACCAGGAGCUGUGGACAGAGAAAUGGCUUCUCGUGCUCUGCCAGUCCCAUACCGCACCCAUCAUUUCCAACGCUCCGGCCUCCUCUGCAUUUAGCCCAGAUUUACCUUACUGGUGAGCGGUGUGUCCACUACCCAUCCAGUGGCUCAAGGCCAGAGAACGGAUGCCACCCUUUGUUGCCCCCUCCUCUCCCCCACCCCGACGUUGAGCCAAAAGCAAGCGCUGCCAGUUCCACCUCCAACAUGGCUCUGGGUUUACCCUCUCCCGCUGUGCCUGAUUUAGGCGCUCCCGGCCACCCUGUGCCCCUGGUCUUGCCAUCUGUGGCUCAGUUAUGUUCUCUGCCCUACUGCCAGUCCAACUUUCCUAAUAAACUUUGGGGAUGAUGACAUUUCUACCAUGUACAGAAUAAUGUCUGAUCUCCACCUCACAGAGGUCCUUCCCGCCCUGUCCCUUUACUGUCCCAACACCCCGAAUCCACAAGAACAGAUUUCAAAACCUGUAUAAGCAGGCUGUUCUCUCUUCAGUAUGCCUUUCCCUGCUCAUACGUCUGGUAACCUUUGAGUCGUGCCACAAGCUCUGGUCAGGUGGCUUCCCAAACCCCCAAGUUACUUUCUCCAACCCGAAGCCUUAGGGAGCUCCUUCUCCUAGAUGCAGUCAUUGUGGCUUUUACAUGCCACCAUCACAGCAAUUAUGCAUAGCAUCUGCUUGAAUCUCUCUCCUCUGCAUAUGAUUAUAAGUACUUUAUGGCCUAGAACGUAAGGUUUUAUUUUUGUAGUUGUCAGGUAUCUAACACGGUACCUGGAAUACAGUAGCCAUUCAAAUGUUUGUUGCAUGAAUAAAUGAAUGCAGAUUGACAUAUAUACACUAUUAUGUAUAAAAUAUAUAACUUAUAA